AUUGAACGCUGGCGGCAGGCCUAACACAUGCAAGUCGAGCGGAUGAAGGGAGCUUGCUCCUGGAUUCAGCGGCGGACGGGUGAGUAAUGCCUAGGAAUCUGCCUGGUAGUGGGGGAUAACGUCCGGAAACGGGCGCUAAUACCGCAUACGUUCUGAGGGAGAAAGUGGGGGAUCUUCGGACCUCACGCUAUCAGAUGAGCCUAGGUCGGAUUAGCUAGUUGGUGGGGUAAAGGCCUACCAAGGCGACAAUCCGUAACUGGUCUGAGAGGAUGAUCAGUCACACUGGAACUGAGACACGGUCCAGACUCCUACGGGAGGCAGCAGUGGGGAAUAUUGGACAAUGGGCGAAAGCCUGAUCCAGCCAUGCCGCGUGUGUGAAGAAGGUCUUCGGAUUGUAAAGCACUUUAAGUUGGGAGGAAGGGCAGUAAGUUAAUACCUUGCUGUUUUGACGUUACCAACAGAAUAAGCACCGGCUAACUUCGUG
rnacentral:rRNA from 1 species